rnacentral:rRNA from 1 species
UACGAAGGGGCUAGCGUUGCUCGGAAUUACUGGGCGUAAAGCGCACGUAGGCGGAUUGUUAAGUCGGGGUGAAAUCCUGGAGCUCAACUCCAGAACUGCCUUCGAUACUGGCGAUCUCGAGUUCGGGAGAGGUGAGUGGAACUGCGAGUGUAGAGGUGAAAUUCGUAGAUAUUCGCAAGAACACCAGUGGCGAAGGCGGCUCACUGGCCGAUACUGACGCUGAGUGCGAAGCGUGGAGCAAACAGG